UCAUGGUUCAGCCUGAGUCGAGUGCACCUGCAGGCAAUCACACGCACCCAUAGAGAGAGAGAGGCACAGGUGGACUGACUUUGUCUAUCUUGAUCUAGCACACUGUGACCUGAUCUGCUGAGCUGAAGCUGGAUCUGCUAGCGUGUUUUGGUGUGACACAACAGAGCCUCUGUGCAGCUCUGGCAGGAGUGGAGGGGGUGAAAGUGGAUGCUUCCCAGGGGAACAACAAGCUACUGCUCUGGACACCACUAUAUACUGUCUAGUGGUGAGAUUCACCAGGCUGAUCAGUCCCCAGCAGCACUCAGAGAGGCAGCUGAACCCUACCUGGAAACAAAUGCUAUGAAGUGUGUGUGUGUGAUAAUGGGAAGUUUUAAGCUCUUAACCUCUCUAAUCUGCUUUCAGAGGCAGUGUUACAAUCUUGUUGCAAUUACUGAUGUGCACAGUAGUUGCACAAAUGUUUUCGUAUCUUACAGGGCAUGCAAAGAAAUGAAAAGUAUUCUGUUCAAGUAAAAUUAUACUUUCAGCGUUUCGGCUGUUCUUUCUUAUAGGUAAAGUCUUAAGAUUCUACAAACUGGAAAAACACACACAAACACACACACACAAAUUACUCUUGCCGGCACAAAUUAGACAAAGAAUGUUAGGAUCUGCUGUGUCUCUCCCUGUGUUUCUUCCUUGUUUCCCUGCCCUUCCUGUUCUCUGUCUGUGUUGUCUGUUUUUGUUGUAUGUCUUCACCUGCGGGAGCGAGGUGUGGCUUCUGAUCCAAUUCACCUGCUCAUCUACACACCUGACCGUCAUCAGGUCUGAUCACCUCUCUCUCCUGCUUCAGUAUAAAGCCCGGGCUCACUCUCCACUCUUCACCAGUUCAUCGUUGAUCCCUUUGUGGUAAAAUUCUCGGCCGACGUAUCGUUCCAAGAAUUCAUCUUCUCUUUUUUGCCUGGGAUUUUUGUAACUUACCUGCCACACUGCUGCCACGCUCAACACCUGUCCUCCUCUCGCCUCACCUGGUGGUUUUGGAAUGCUCCCCAUCUCGGAACUGAACCUCCCUCGAGGACCCAUCACCCCCUGAUCCUCACUCAGAAUCUCCCUUGUGCACUGUUGGUGUUAUAAAUACAAUAGUUAAACAUUU